GCGAGUCUGGGGAGCGAGUCUGACGAUCGAGCUUAAAGGCUGAUUUAAAUCGCGUUCCAUAUAAAAGUAACAGUACGUGAUAGAAGGAGUAUUUUCCACAUUAAAAGGAGAUUUUGUCCUAACCAACACCUCAAGUUGAUAUAUAUGGCUUCUAUUUUUUCACAGCUGAACAACAGAAAACUAUGACAAUGAUCACCUCAGGUGACUGCUUACCUCCACAUGGACAACUUUCCCACUGUAACCAGUUUGUCUCGUUAGCUUGUGGACUUGAGAUGCAGAGAGGAAUUGAGGAAGUCUGGUGAAGUGCUGUUCCAGAAAGCAGAAACAGGUUGAUGGACAUACUGAAAAUGGAUGACACAGGGCCAUGGAAACCUUUGGAA